AAGCAAUAAGAGACAAAGAGUUUCAGAGCUGAGGCCCUCACAGACAGGAUGGAAGAAGGUGAAAUAAAAUUAAUCCUGUUCUUUGUUAAUCCUCAGACAGCCCAAAAUGUUAUUUCUGUUAAACUAAUCAGUCUUUACAACACUGCGCAGCCAGAAAUAGUCGCUCCACCCAGCAGGAUUUGGCUGAAAUCUCCUCAAACGGUCCCAAAAUCUCUCUGCUCUGCGCGAUGGGCGGUGCUGGGGGACGUGUUAUUUUCACAAAUCCGUGUUUUCUUCACUUGUCCCUGCAUGUGAUGUAUGGAUUAUUUAAUGUUUGUUUGGGUACGUUUCUAAACUUGUAUUCAGGGUCCAGCAGCCAAAAACAGGCAGUCCUCCCACUGCGGCUGCACCUGCAGGUCAGAGCCCGUCUCCCCCGCCGGCUCCUCUCUCUGCGUUACAUAACCAACUCCUCCACUGGACGACGGAGAGGAGAGGAGAGGACCGCAGUCAAAAUACAUGAGAC